CCUACGGGCGGCAGCAGUGAGGAAUAUUGGUCAAUGGACGCAAGUCUGAACCAGCCAUGCCGCGUGCAGGAAGACGGCCCUAUGAGUUGUAAACUGCUUUUGUACGAGGGUAAACGCAGAUACGUGUAUCUUUCUGAAAGUAUCGUACGAGUAAGGAACGGCUAACUCCGUGCCAGCAGCCGCGGUACUACGGAGGGUUCAAGCGUUAUGCGGAUUUAAUGGGUUUAAAGGGUGCGUAGGCGGUCGGAUAAGUUAGAGGUGAAAUCCCGGGGCUCAACUUCGGAAUUGCCUCUGAUACUGGUCGGCUAGAGAGUAGUUGCGGUAGGUGGAAUGUCUGGUGUAGCGGUGAAAUGCUUAGAGAUCAUACAGAACACCGAUUGCGAAGGCAGCUUACCAAGCUACUUCUGACGUUGAGGCACGAAAGCGUGGGGAGCAAACAGGAUUAGAUACCCGAGUAGUC
rnacentral:rRNA from 1 species